GGAUAUAAGAGAAAACUAGCUGUGACAUCUGUCAACACAUUGAUUUCCAGGGUUGAUACAGAUGGUCUGAGCUGAUCCCUGGUCUCCCUCACCACCCCAUUUGUGUCCCUUCCAAAGCUACCCGCUCAUCCAAAGAAUGACCUUCUGAAAGAGGACAAGUCGUGAAGGGUAUUUAAAGAUGUAUUCCUUUGCUAUAAUUUCUAAACAUGUUCAUAAUUUAUUCAAAGAUAUAUAAAUCUAUAGAACAAAUCGAUACACUUUGGUUGGGAUGAUUCUUUCUUU
rnacentral:snRNA from 1 species